AAUAUGUGAAAUUUAAGAAUCCAGGAUUGAAUUACGAACAAAGGAUAAACUGAAAUAGCACAAACCAUCAAUCACAACAUGAUAAACUCUUCUUCACGUAACAUCAUCUUACGGCAUACCUCUGUCGUGAUCGCGACAUGUGGCAGAGGUAGAAAUAGCAGCUAUCAAAUCUCUGCGUGUCCAUGGUAGCUUUGUGGACCCUCAGCACCAAAUCAACUCCCUUUUCUUAGAAUUAG
rnacentral:lncRNA from 1 species